rnacentral:rRNA from 1 species
GGAGAAUGUUAUCACGGGAGACACACGGCGGGUGCUAACGUCCGUCGUGAAGAGGGAAACAACCCAGACCGCCAGCUAAGGUCCCAAAGUCAUGGUUAAGUGGGAAACGAUGUGGGAAGGCCCAGACAGCCAGGAUGUUGGCUUAGAAGCAGCCAUCAUUUAAAGAAAGCGUAAUAGCUCACUGGUCGAGUCGGCCUGCGCGGAAGAUGUAACGGGGCUAAACCAUGCACCGAAGCUGCGGCAGCGACACUAUGUGUUGUUGGGUAGGGGAGCGUUCUGUAAGCCUGUGAAGGUGUACUGUGAGGUAUGCUGGAGGUAUCAGAAGUGCGAAUGCUGACAUAAGUAACGAUAAAGCGGGUGAAAAGCCCGCUCGCCGGAAGACCAAGGGUUCCUGUCCAACGUUAAUCGGGGCAGGGUGAGUCGACCCCUAAGGCGAGGCCGAAAGGCGUAGUCGAUGGGAAACAGGUUAAUAUUCCUGUACUUGGUGUUACUGCGAAGGGGGGACGGAGAAGGCUAUGUUGGCCGGGCGACGGUUGUC